GUGGUGUUAGCUCAGUUGGUUAGAGCGCCGCACUGUGACUGCGGAGGCCGCCGGUUCGACCCCGGUACACCACCCCA
rnacentral:tRNA from 1 species